CACGGGGGGAGCAAGCGUUGUUCGGAAUCACUGGGCGUAAAGGGCGUGUAGGCGGUCAGGUAAGUGAGAUGUGAAAUGCCCCGGCUCACCCGGGGACCGGCAUCUCAUACUGCUGGCUUGAGUACGGGAGAGGAGUGUGGGAAUUCCUGGUGUAGCGGUGAAAUGCGUAGAUAGUCAGGAGGAACACCGGUGGCGAAGGCGCACAUCUGGCCCGAUACUGACGCUGAGGCGCGAAAGCGUAGGGGAGCAAACGGG
rnacentral:rRNA from 1 species